rnacentral:rRNA from 1 species
CUACGGGGUGCUCCAGUGGGGAAUAUUGCACAAUGGGCGCAAGCCUGAUGCAGCCAUGCCGCGUGUAUGAAGAAGGCCUUCGGGUUGUAAAGUACUUUCAGCGGGGAGGAAGGGAGUAAAGUUAAUACCUUUGCUCAUUGACGUUACCCGCAGAAGAAGCACCGGCUAACUCCGUGCCAGCAGCCGCGGUAAUACGGAGGGUGCAAGCGUUAAUCGGAAUUACUGGGCGUAAAGCGCACGCAGGCGGUUUGUUAAGUCAGAUGUGAAAUCCCCGGGCUCAACCUGGGAACUGCAUCUGAUACUGGCGAGCUUGAGUCUCGGAGAGGGGGGUAGAAUUCCAGGUGUAGCGGUGAAAUGCGUAGAGAUCUGGAGGAAUACCGGUGGCGAAGGCGGCCCCCUGGACGAAGACUGACGCUCAGGUGCGAAAGCGUGGGGAGCAAACAGGAUUAGAUACCCGAGUAGUC